CACUCCUGCGGGAGGCAGCAGUGGGGAAUAUUGCACAAUGGGCGCAAGCCUGAUGCAGCCAUGCCGCGUGUAUGAAGAAGGCCUUCGGGUUGUAAAGUACUUUCAGCGGGGAGGAAGGCGAUAAGGUUAAUAACCUUGUUGAUUGACGUUACCCGCAGAAGAAGCACCGGCUAACUCCGUGCCAGCAGCCGCGGUAAUACGGAGGGUGCAAGCGUUAAUCGGAAUUACUGGGCGUAAAGCGCACGCAGGCGGUCUGUCAAGUCGGAUGUGAAAUCCCCGGGCUCAACCUGGGAACUGCAUUCGAAACUGGCAGGCUAGAGUCUUGUAGAGGGGGGUAGAAUUCCAGGUGUAGCGGUGAAAUGCGUAGAGAUCUGGAGGAAUACCGGUGGCGAAGGCGCCCCCCUGGACAAAGACUGACGCUCAGGUGCGAAAGCGUGGGGAGCAAACAGGAUUAGAAACCCCAGUAGUCCCA
rnacentral:rRNA from 1 species